UACGUAGGGGGCUAGCGUUGUCCGGAUUUAUUGGGCGUAAAGAGCGCGUAGGCGGCUAGGUAAGUCCGACGUGAAAUCUGGAGGCUCAACCUCCAGCGGUCGUUGGAAACUACUUGGCUAGAGUCCGGAAGAGGAGAGUGGAAUUCCUGGUGUAGCGGUGAAAUGCGCAGAUAUCAGGAAGAACACCGAUGGCGAAAGCAGCUCUCUGGGCAUUAACUGACGCUGAGGAGCGAAAGCAUGGGGAGCGAACAGG
rnacentral:rRNA from 1 species